rnacentral:misc_RNA from 1 species
AACCAUAGAAACCUGCGGAGUACCUGCGGAGGGAUCAUUACAGAGUUGCAAAACUCCCUAAACCAUUGUGAACGUUACCUAAACCGUUGCUUCGGCGGGCGGCCCGGGUCCUUCCCGGCGCCCCUCGGCCCUCGCGGGCGCCCGCCGGAGGUAAACCAAACUAUUGCAUUGUAUGGCCUCUCUGAGUCUUCUGUACUGAAUAAGUCAAAACUUUUAACAACGGAUCUCAGAUCGGAAGAG